rnacentral:rRNA from 1 species
CCGGUAAACGGCGGCCGUAACUAUAACGGUCCUAAGGUAGCGAAAUUCCUUGUCGGGUAAGUUCCGACCUGCACGAAUGGCGUAAUGAUGGCCAGGCUGUCUCCACCCGAGACUCAGUGAAAUUGAACUCGCUGUGAAGAUGCAGUGUACCCGCGGCAAGACGGAAAGACCCCGUGAACCUUUACUAUAGCUUGACACUGAACAUUGAGCCUUGAUGUGUAGGAUAGGUGGGAGGCUUUGAAGUGUGGACGCCAGUCUGCAUGGAGCCGACCUUGAAAUACCACCCUUUAAUGUUUGAUGUUCUAACGUUGGCCCCUGAUCGGGGUUGCGGACAGUGUCUGGUGGGUAGUUUGACUGGGGCGGUCUCCUCCUAAAGAGUAACGGAGGAGCACGAAGGUUGGCUAAUCCUGG